GGGUUGUGAGGUUAAGCGACUAAGCGUACACGGUGGAUGCCCCGGCAGUCAGAGGCGAUGAAGGACGUGCUAAUCUGCGAUAAGCGUCGGUAAGGUGAUAUGAACCGUUAUAACCGGCGAUUUCCGAAUGGGGAAACCCAGUGUGAUUCGUCACACUAUCAUUAACUGAAUCCAUAGGUUAAUGAGGCGAACCGGGGGAACUGAAACAUCUAAGUACCCCGAGGAAAAGAAAUCAACCGAGAUUCCCCCAGUAGCGGCGAGCGAACGGGGAGCAGCCCAGAGCCUGAAUCAGUGUGUGUGUUAGUGGAAGCGUCUGGAAAGGCGCGCGAUACAGGGUGACAGCCCCGUACACAAAAAUGCACAUGCUGUGAGCUCGAUGAGUAGGGCGGGACACGUGGUAUCCUGUCUGAAUAUGGGGGGACCAUCCUCCAAGGCUAAAUACUCCUGACUGACCGAUAGUGAACCAGUACCGUGAGGGAAAGGCGAAAAGAACCCCGGCGAGGGGAGUGAAAAAGAACCUGAAACCGUGUACGUACAAGCAGUGGGAGCACGCUUAGGCGUGUGACUGCGUACCUUUUGUAUAAUGGGUCAGCGACUUAUAUUCUGUAGCAAGGUUAACCGAAUAGGGGAGCCGAAGGGAAACCGAGUCUUAACUGGGCGUUAAGUUGCAGGGUAUAGACCCGAAACCCGGUGAUCUAGCCAUGGGCAGGUUGAAGGUUGGGUAACACUAACUGGAGGACCGAACCGACUAAUGUUGAAAAAUUAGCGGAUGACUUGUGGCUGGGGGUGAAAGGCCAAUCAAACCGGGAGAUAGCUGGUUCUCCCCGAAAGCUAUUUAGGUAGCGCCUCGUGAAUUCAUCUCCGGGGGUAGAGCACUGUUUCGGCAAGGGGGUCAUCCCGACUUACCAACCCGAUGCAAACUGCGAAUACCGGAGAAUGUUAUCACGGGAGACACACGGCGGGUGCUAACGUCCGUCGUGAAGAGGGAAACAACCCAGACCGCCAGCUAAGGUCCCAAAGUCAUGGUUAAGUGGGAAACGAUGUGGGAAGGCCCAGACAGCCAGGAUGUUGGCUUAGAAGCAGCCAUCAUUUAAAGAAAGCGUAAUAGCUCACUGGUCGAGUCGGCCUGCGCGGAAGAUGUAACGGGGCUAAACCAUGCACCGAAGCUGCGGCAGCGACACUAUGUGUUGUUGGGUAGGGGAGCGUUCUGUAAGCCUGUGAAGGUGUACUGUGAGGUAUGCUGGAGGUAUCAGAAGUGCGAAUGCUGACAUAAGUAACGAUAAAGCGGGUGAAAAGCCCGCUCGCCGGAAGACCAAGGGUUCCUGUCCAACGUUAAUCGGGGCAGGGUGAGUCGACCCCUAAGGCGAGGCCGAAAGGCGUAGUCGAUGGGAAACAGGUUAAUAUUCCUGUACUUGGUGUUACUGCGAAGGGGGGACGGAGAAGGCUAUGUUGGCCGGGCGACGGUUGUCCCGGUUUAAGCGUGUAGGCUGGUUUUCCGUGCAAAUCCGGAAAAUCAAGGCUGAGGCGUGAUGACGAGGCACUACGGUGCUGAAGCAACAAAUGCCCUGCUUCCGGGAAAAGCCUCUAAGCAUCAGGUAACAUCAAAUCGUACCCCAAACCGACACAGGUGGUCAGGUAGAGAAUACCAAGGCGCUUGAGAGAACUCGGGUGAAGGAACUAGGCAAAAUGGUGCCGUAACUUCGGGAGAAGGCACGCUGAUAUGUAGGUGAAGUCCCUCGCGGAUGGAGCUGAAAUCAGUCGAAGAUACCAGCUGGCUGCAACUGUUUAUUAAAAACACAGCACUGUGCAAACACGAAAGUGGACGUAUACGGUGUGACGCCUGCCCGGUGCCGGAAGGUUAAUUGAUGGGGUCAGCGCAAGCGAAGCUCUUGAUCGAAGCCCCGGUAAACGGCGGCCGUAACUAUAACGGUCCUAAGGUAGCGAAAUUCCUUGUCGGGUAAGUUCCGACCUGCACGAAUGGCGUAAUGAUGGCCGGGCUGUCUCCACCCGAGACUCAGUGAAAUUGAACUCGCUGUGAAGAUGCAGUGUACCCGCGGCAAGACGGAAAGACCCCGUGAACCUUUACUAUAGCUUGACACUGAACAUUGAGCCUUGAUGUGUAGGAUAGGUGGGAGGCUUUGAAGUGUGGACGCCAGUCUGCAUGGAGCCGACCUUGAAAUACCACCCUUUAAUGUUUGAUGUUCUAACGUUGACCCGUAAUCCGGGUUGCGGACAGUGUCUGGUGGGUAGUUUGACUGGGGCGGUCUCCUCCUAAAGAGUAACGGAGGAGCACGAAGGUUGGCUAAUCCUGGUCGGACAUCAGGAGGUUAGUGCAAUGGCAUAAGCCAGCUUGACUGCGAGCGUGACGGCGCGAGCAGGUGCGAAAGCAGGUCAUAGUGAUCCGGUGGUUCUGAAUGGAAGGGCCAUCGCUCAACGGAUAAAAGGUACUCCGGGGAUAACAGGCUGAUACCGCCCAAGAGUUCAUAUCGACGGCGGUGUUUGGCACCUCGAUGUCGGCUCAUCACAUCCUGGGGCUGAAGUAGGUCCCAAGGGUAUGGCUGUUCGCCAUUUAAAGUGGUACGCGAGCUGGGUUUAGAACGUCGUGAGACAGUUCGGUCCCUAUCUGCCGUGGGCGCUGGAGAACUGAGGGGGGCUGCUCCUAGUACGAGAGGACCGGAGUGGACGCAUCACUGGUGUUCGGGUUGUCAUGCCAAUGGCACUGCCCGGUAGCUAAAUGCGGAAGAGAUAAGUGCUGAAAGCAUCUAAGCACGAAACUUGCCCCGAGAUGAGUUCUCCCUGACUCCUUGAGAGUCCUGAAGGAACGUUGAAGACGACGACGUUGAUAGGCCGGGUGUGUAAGCGCAGCGAUGCGUUGAGCUAACCGGUACUAAUGAACCGUGAGGCUUAACCUUACAACGCCGAAGGUGUUU
rnacentral:rRNA from 1 species